AUAUAUAUAUAUAUAUAUAUAUAAAAACUACAUAGACUUUUUAAAAAUGAAAGGUUGGCUAAAUGUGAAUUUUAGGCUAACAUUAUGUAUUUUAUUGUGUGUGUGUGUGUGUAUGUUCAUUAUAUUUGUCAGUGUAUUAAUGUAAAUUGUCGUGUUUCACGGUUGCUGUUAUUCACUCGAUUUAAGUGUAAAUCAUGAACGCUGACGUGUUUGUGUGUCAUGUGGGAAUAUCGCCAUGUCUCUCUCCGUGUUUACGAUUAAAGUCGCUGUGGCAGGUUUUGGUGCCGGGCUGCUUCCAUAAUCUAAACCUGACAAUAAACGGAUUUUAUUUAAUAAAAAGGUUAUUUAGCGAAGGAAAACACAAAUCACGGAGGAAGGAGUCUCCAGUGUCCGGAGUCUUCAGGACACGGUAUGGAAUUUUAAAAGCCGUCGAAUUCUCAGUAACGGACUUUUGAAUUCACAGCAUUGAAGUACUGUACGUUUACUUUCUAUAUUCAUAACUAUUUUUGUUUUUAUUAAACUUCUUGAAAUUCAAAGUAGUUUUAUUGAAGUGAUUCACGUUAAAGAAACAAACAUCCAAGUUGAAUAAACUGUUGUAAGGCAGAGCGCUGAACUCGCACUCCUGAGCAAUCCAGCCCGCUUCUACUGGAAUAUUUUCUAAAGGACUUGGUGGGUUCUGCAUCCCAAAAUCCAAGUAAAUCGUGUAUAAACAGAUCAAAGCUGAUCAUUAUACUACCUAAAAGAAAUUAACUCGUGUACAAGCCUCUGAUUUUGCACUAAAUUAUUGGUUUCUUUUUAUUUAUUCAUUUAUUUAUUUAUUUAUUUUUUAAUUAAAGAUACAGGUAAUAACGUGCUGUGUCUGAGAGAUCUUCACCACCUCCAACAGAAACUCGGAAUCUCCCGCCUCGCCCAAAACGCGAUAAGCAGGUGGCACCAGAGCUUCAGUGAAUCUUCAGAACAGAGCCAUGAGCCUGUUACUAUCCAGGUCUCCAGGAAGGGUGGACAAAUCCAACCGGUGUUCCAACCUGACAACGAGAAAGAAUUCAAUUAUAAGUGGAUGUAAUGACAAACAAUAAUAAUAAUAAUAAUAAUAAUAAUGUGAAUUUAUAUGUCUACUGGGCUAUAAGAUAUUCCUGGAGCGUGGAAGCCAGAAACAGCAGCAGGACUUUGCCGGAUUGCUCACUCACUCUUAAUGAGCCGAUGAGUCUCUAAUUAACAGGUAAAAUGGCGGUCAGGAUCUUCACACGCUUCCUAACAGAAGGUCUACCUUUAGAAACACUGAUGAUCAUUCAUGCUCUUCCUUUAUAACUAACGGUCUGGUUUAACAACACUGUAAACUAACUGCAUUGUUCAACAUAAUAACGCUCCAAAUCUUCAUUAUUCCCCAAUAUCUAUAUAAAUACACUGACCUACCAUAGAGCGCUACAUUCUCUUGUCGCCAUUUUACACAGCAGCGCCUCUUCUCCUCCUCCUCCUCCUCCUCUCCUGCAGGUUUUUCCUGCACUCACGUGACUGAAAUACUGUGCACCGAUCGGCUAGGUAUCACCCCAGACUCAAUUACCUGGAUGCUAAACUAGUAAAAAAUUGCAAACUGAAUUCCAUGAAUUGUUGUUGUUUUUGUGCGUGAUAUCUAAAACCGAAUCUAAAUUUUCGAACGCUGAAAAUAUUUGAAUAUAGAUGCGUGAUUAGUUUUUUUUAAAUUCCCCCCAAAAAAACAAAAAAAAUUGUUUAUUACCGAAUAAUAUAUAUCGGUGAUAUGAAAUGUAAAGCUUUGUAAAAUUCCAAUCUUGUGCUUUUCAGGUUUUUACACUUUGCGAUUUCUCUUUACCAUGACAAGCAGCGAUUUAUUUACAAUUUAUUAUCUUCGAGAGAGAGAGAGAGAGGGGAAAAGAGAAGCUGCAGAGGGAAGGACUGUUUAUAGCUGCUGUAACUUAAACGGACGCUCCACAACAUUAAAUGUAACUAUAAACAUAUAUAUCGUGUGUCGUCCUUUUAAAUUUUUUUAAUGGUAAUCGUUGGUAAUUUGCUGCGAUGUAAGAGGAGUGAAACACUUGGGGAUAUGCUGAGAUAGGAACGCUACCUGGUAUGGCCAUGAUUUAUUCUUCACGUAUCAAGAAAACACGAGUUUUCAUUUAUUUAAGUGCAAGCAGCAGUUUGGAAGCAGUUUGGGGGAAACGACUUAAGGAUCACAAUCUGUUUCAUAAGCUAGAAAGAAAGAGAGAGAGAGAGAGUGUGUAUAUACACACACACACACACCACAUCUGUGGGGGAAAAUACUCACGCGAGGUCCAAUUUGGUUGAUUGCUUCAUAUCUCUGGCAAUUUAUCAAGGUGUGUGUGUGUGUGUGUGUGUGUGUGUGUGUGUGUGUGUGGGUGGGUGGUGGGGGUGGGCGUAUGCACAUGAACAGCCCAAACACAUCCACACACACAAAACUAUUUGUCCUUGGAGGAGCUGUCACUUUUUCCAGAUUGGGAUAACUAGUGUUUUUUUGUGGAUAAGAACCAAGCGCGCGCACACACACACACACACACACACACACACAUACGUGCAUGCACACAAACAAAAAACAAAACAAUUUUUAAAAGUUGAACAAACUGUGAAUACAGUCAGAUUGUUGUCGAUACAAAUGACAUUAGCAGUUAAAAAUACUUUUCACUUCAGCAAGGAACCUAAGAAGAAACAAAACAUUUCAAGAAAUCUGGAACUGAUGGAAAUUUCUCAGGAAUUGGACCUAAACUCUUACUGAAUCACGGUUUGGGGCUGUUUUUGUGGCUCUGAAUAUUUUAGACCAAAACCUGGACGCCUUCCCGGAGGUUCAGAGUUGAGGUGAAACUUUCAGCAAGGUUCACUUCAACCCGGAAAUCAGUGUUUGGUAAUGAAUAUCGUUUCAUGGUUGAAAUAAAGCUGUAUAUUAUUCCUUUUAAAAUAAUAUAUUUAAAUUAGGACGUGACUGCGUGUGUUUUCCUUCCAGUUAUAAUUACGAUUUUUUUGCUAGUUUAACUUACUGAAAACAACCUCCACACACAGGAGAGUUUUCCACGGUGAGGCUCUGACGCUUGACAUUCAGUACGUACUGAUCAGAGACAAGCGUUUUACUCCUGAGCCACAAACUCGUCUGGUCUGUGUUUGGAGUUUCUUUACAGGUGGUUGAGUCGUAGUGAGCGUGAGCUGUAACGAGGAGGAUAAGUGUUUUGGUAAGUGCUGGUUACAUGUCAGCUCCAGUAGCUCACCUGGUAAGUGCUGAGUGAGUGUGUGUGUGUGUGAGAGAGAGAGAGGGGAACACAGUUCAAGGCUUCUGUCAGAUUUAGUUUGUGAUGUCUCCUUAUAUUAACUGCGACAGUAGGUGGUAUAAAGUGAAACAUAAACCUUGUGAGGAAGGCAGGUGUUCUGUGUGGACUGCUGGGUCAGCGGGUAAAGUCUGUACCUGGUUCAGGAAGCGGAACAGCGUUUGAGUCCAGGCUGAGGUGAGUGAGAAAUGUGUUAAGAAUUUCUGCUGGGUGUUUUUAGAACUUAUGUCUCUGUUCAGGUGAAGCAGUAUGAAGGUGUAAUGGAAAGAGAGUGAUGUAAGAGACUCUGUAGCUCAAUUGGUUGAGUGGUUGCUUCUGUGGAUCAGAAGAUGCUUGGAUCAAAACCCAACAAGAGUCUGGAGAAAGGGGGUAAGAAGGGAACAGUGGUGGUUGUAGGGUGCAGGAUAGGAAGGGAACAGUGGUGGUAGUGGGUGGAGUGUGCAGGAACAGUGGUGGUAGUGGGUGGAGUGUGCAGGAACAGUGGUGGUAGUGGG
ensembl:lncRNA